UACGAAGGGGGCUAGCGUUGUUCGGAAUCACUGGGCGUAAAGAGCGCGUAGGCGGAUAUGUAAGUCAGAGGUGAAAGCCCAGGGCCCAACCUUGGAAUUGCCUUUGAAACUACAUAUCUAGAGACUCGGAGGGGAUAGUGGAAUUCCAAAUGUAGGGGUGAAAUCCGUAGAUAUUUGGAGGAACACCAGUGGCGAAGGCGGCUAUCUGGACGAGUACUGACGCUGAGGCGCGAAAGCGUGGGGAUCAAACAGG
rnacentral:rRNA from 1 species